rnacentral:rRNA from 1 species
UUCCAGACUCCUACGGGAGGCAGCAGUGAGGAAUAUUGGUCAAUGGGCGGGAGCCUGAACCAGCCAAGCCGCGUGAAGGAAGAAGGCGCCAGGCGUCGUAAACUUCUUUUGUCGGGGAACAAAGGGCGCCACGUGUGGCGUUGUGAGUGUACCCGAAGAAAAAGCAUCGGCUAACUCCGUGCCAGCAGCCGCGGUAAUACGGAGGAUGCGAGCGUUAUCCGGAUUUAUUGGGUUUAAAGGGUGCGCAGGCGGAAGAUCAAGUCAGCGGUAAAAUUGAGAGGCUCAACCUCUUCGAGCCGUUGAAACUGGUUUUCUUGAGUGAGUGAGAAGUAUGCGGAAUGCGUGGUGUAGCGGUGAAAUGCAUAGAUAUCACGCAGAACUCCGAUUGCGAAGGCAGCAUACCGGCGCUCAACUGACGCUCAUGCACGAAAGUGUGGGUAUCGAACAGGAUUAGAUACCCUUGUAAAG